GCGUAAGUGGUUCAGCGGUUAUCAUGGCUGCCUUUUAAGCAGUCGGUUCGGGUUCGACUCUCGACAUACGCA
rnacentral:tRNA from 1 species